rnacentral:rRNA from 1 species
UGCGUAGGUGGGUUGGUAAGUCAGUGGUGAAAUCUCCGGGCUUAACUCGGAAACUGCCAUUGAUACUAUCAGUCUUGAAUACCGUGGAGGUCAGUAGAAUAUGUCAUGUAGCGGUGAAAUGCUUAGAUAUGACAUAGAAUACCAAUUGCGAAGGCAGCUGGCUACACGAAUAUUGACACUCAGGCACGAAGCGUGGGAUCAAACA